rnacentral:rRNA from 1 species
UACGGAGGGAGCUAGCGUUGUUCGGAUAUACUGGGCGUAAAGCGCACGUAGGCGGCGCAGCAAGUCAGGGGUGAAAUCCCGGAGCUCAACUCCGGAACUGCCUUUGAAACUGCAGUGCUAGAAUCCUGGAGAGGCGAGUGGAAUUCCGAGUGUAGAGGUGAAAUUCGUAGAUAUUCGGAAGAACCCCAGUGGCGAAGGCGACUCGCUGGACAGGUAUUGACGCUGAGGUGCGAAAGCGUGGGGAGCAAACAGG